AGGUCCAUCUGGGAUUCGAACCCAGGUUGUCAGAAUCAGAACCUGAAGUGAUAACCAACUACACUAAUGGACC